rnacentral:rRNA from 1 species
GUCGAGAAUCUUUCACAAUGGGGGCAACCCUGAUGGAGCGACGCCGCGUGGAGGAUAAGGUCUUCGGAUUGUAAACUCCUGUCAUGCGUGAACAAGGUUGCUUGGUUAAUACCUGGGCAAAUUGAUGGUAACGCAAGAGGAAGAGACGGCUAACUCUGUGCCAGCAGCCGCGGUAAUACAGAGGUCUCAAGCGUUGUUCGGAAUCACUGGGCGUAAAGGGUGCGUAGGUGGCGUGGUAAGUCAGAUGUGAAAGCCCGGGGCUCAACCUCGGAACUGCAUCAGAUACUGCCAUGCUAGAGUACUGGAGAGGUGACUAGAAUUCUCGGUGUAGCAGUGAAAUGCGUAGAUAUCGAGAGGAAUACCAAAGGCGUAGGCAGGUCACUGGACAGUUACUGACACUGAGGCACGAAGGCCAGGGGAGCGAACGGGAUUAGAUACCCUAGUAGUCC